rnacentral:rRNA from 1 species
UACGUAGGGAGCGAGCGUUGUUCGGAUUUAUUGGGCGUAAAGAGUGCGUAGGCGGCUUUUUAAGUCUGGUGUGAAAUCUCCCGGCUUAACUGGGAGGGUGCGCCGGAGACUGGAAGGCUAGAGUAUGGGAGAGGUAAGCGGAAUUCCUGGUGUAGCGGUGAAAUGCGUAGAUAUCAGGAGGAACACCUGCGGUGAAGACGGCUUACUGGGCCAUAACUGACGCUGAGGCACGAAAGCGUGGGUAGCAAACAGG